UCUGGUGACUAUAGCAAGGAGGUCACACCUGUUCCCAUGCCGAACACAGAAGUUAAGCCCCUUAGCGUCGAUGGUAGUCGAACUUACGUUCCGCUAGAGUAGAACGUUGCCAGGC
rnacentral:rRNA from 1 species